CCUUUCUACGGAGAUUCAGGGCGCGGUUCGCGCCCGGUGUCGCCCCCCGGCCGGAUGGUCCGGCGUCGGUGGGGCUGCUGGUGUGGAAGAGAUCGGUGGCUCUCGUGUGGUAUGGGCAUGCUUUUGGGUUCCCGGACCGCCACCGGGCCUUCGGGUCUGGCGCGGUUCGCCAUACCGGGUCCCGUCCGUCCCCCUGGUGGGGUUUCGGGUUCGGGUUCCGGUCGUGGUGGUGGUUUGAGAACUGGAGAGUGGACGCGAGCAAGAAAGAUUCUUUUCUUGUUUACUGUUUUUCGGACGAACUUCUUCUUGUAGAGGUUUUGUUCUUUGUUCUGAUCGUUUUGUGAUCAUUAGUGCGAAGAUCUGUUGUCCGGUGUUUGCUGGCUUUGUCGCGGGCGGCCGUGUG
rnacentral:misc_RNA from 1 species